rnacentral:rRNA from 1 species
UACGAAGGGGGGCUAGCGUUGCUCGGAAUCACUGGGCGUAAAGGGUGCGUAGGCGGGUCUUUUAAGUCAGGGGUGAAAUCCUGGAGCUCAACUCCAGAACUGCCUUUGAUACUGAGGAUCUUGAGUACGGGAGAGGUGAGUGGAACUGCGAGUGUAGAGGUGAAAUUCGUAGAUAUUCGCAAGAACACCAGUGGCGAAGGCGGCUCACUGGCCCGUUACUGACGCUGAGGCACGAAAGCGUGGGGAGCAAACAGG